rnacentral:misc_RNA from 1 species
GAAAAAGAGACUUCAAGAAUAAGUGAACUUCGUUCAAGUGCAUCAUUUCAACAUAAUUACUACCUAUGUUUCAUAAAAAGAUCAUAGAAAGCUUCAGUUAUAAACCAAACCUCAAAUUUUGUUUCAGAAGAAAAUUCCUGUUCAGCAAUUGACUAAAAAGCAAUGUCAAGAACCACAUAAGUCUGUGUAUGCAAUAGACUGAAAAUUUUAGCUGUCUG